GGGUUGUGAGGUUAAGCGACUAAGCGUACACGGUGGAUGCCCUGGCAGUCAGAGGCGAUGAAGGGCGUGCUAAUCUGCGAUAAGCGCCGGUAAGGUGAUAUGAACCGUUAUAACCGGCGAUACCCGAAUGGGGAAACCCAGUGUGAUUCGUCACACUAUCAUUAACUGAAUCCAUAGGUUAAUGAGGCGAACCGGGGGAACUGAAACAUCUAAGUACCCCGAGGAAAAGAAAUCAACCGAGAUUCCCCCAGUAGCGGCGAGCGAACGGGGAGGAGCCCAGAGCCUGAAUCAGCAUGUGUGUUAGUGGAAGCGUCUGGAAAGGCGCGCGAUACAGGGUGACAGCCCCGUACACAAAAGCGCAUGUGCUGUGAGCUCGAUGAGUAGGGCGGGACACGUGGUAUCCUGUCUGAAUAUGGGGGGACCAUCCUCCAAGGCUAAAUACUCCUGACUGACCGAUAGUGAACCAGUACCGUGAGGGAAAGGCGAAAAGAACCCCGGCGAGGGGAGUGAAAAAGAACCUGAAACCGUGUACGUACAAGCAGUGGGAGCACAGGUUUACCUGUGUGACUGCGUACCUUUUGUAUAAUGGGUCAGCGACUUAUAUUCUGUAGCAAGGUUAACCGUAUAGGGGAGCCGGAGGGAAACCGAGUCUUAAUUGGGCGUUAAGUUGCAGGGUAUAGACCCGAAACCCGGUGAUCUAGCCAUGGGCAGGUUGAAGGUUGGGUAACACUAACUGGAGGACCGAACCGACUAAUGUUGAAAAAUUAGCGGAUGACCUGUGGCUGGGGGUGAAAGGCCAAUCAAACCGGGAGAUAGCUGGUUCUCCCCGAAAGCUAUUUAGGUAGCGCCUCGUGAAUUCAUCUCCGGGGGUAGAGCACUGUUUCGGCUAGGGGGCCAUCCCGGCUUACCAACCCGAUGCAAACUGCGAAUACCGGAGAAUGUUAUCACGGGAGACACACGGCGGGUGCUAACGUCCGUCGUGAAGAGGGAAACAACCCAGACCGCCAGCUAAGGUCCCAAAGUCAUGGUUAAGUGGGAAACGAUGUGGGAAGGCCCAGACAGCCAGGAUGUUGGCUUAGAAGCAGCCAUCAUUUAAAGAAAGCGUAAUAGCUCACUGGUCGAGUCGGCCUGCGCGGAAGAUGUAACGGGGCUAAACCAUGCACCGAAGCUGCGGCAGCGAACGUAUCACCCAAGACAACUUUACGGAGUUGACGAUUGACGGAGCGAAGCGACGUCAAAGCGUUCAUUAAAGUCGAGUUGGCUUAGGGAUACGUUCGUUGGGUAGGGGAGCGUUCUGUAAGCCUGUGAAGGUGUGUCGUGAGGCAUGCUGGAGGUAUCAGAAGUGCGAAUGCUGACAUAAGUAACGAUAAAGCGGGUGAAAAGCCCGCUCGCCGGAAGACCAAGGGUUCCUGUCCAACGUUAAUCGGGGCAGGGUGAGUCGACCCCUAAGGCGAGGCCGAAAGGCGUAGUCGAUGGGAAACGGGUUAAUAUUCCCGUACUUGGUGUUACUGCGAAGGGGGGACGGAGAAGGCUAUGUUGGCCGGGCGACGGUUGUCCCGGUUUAAGCGUGUAGGUGUGUGUUCCAGGUAAAUCCGGUUCACUUUAACACUGAGGCGUGACGACGAGGCACUACGGUGCUGAAGCAACAAAUGCCCUGCUUCCAGGAAAAGCCUCUAAGCAUCAGGUAACACGAAAUCGUACCCCAAACCGACACAGGUGGUCAGGUAGAGAAUACCAAGGCGCUUGAGAGAACUCGGGUGAAGGAACUAGGCAAAAUGGUGCCGUAACUUCGGGAGAAGGCACGCUGACACGUAGGUGAAGUGAUUUACUCAUGGAGCUGAAGUCAGUCGAAGAUACCAGCUGGCUGCAACUGUUUAUUAAAAACACAGCACUGUGCAAACACGAAAGUGGACGUAUACGGUGUGACGCCUGCCCGGUGCCGGAAGGUUAAUUGAUGGGGUCAGCGCAAGCGAAGCUCCUGAUCGAAGCCCCGGUAAACGGCGGCCGUAACUAUAACGGUCCUAAGGUAGCGAAAUUCCUUGUCGGGUAAGUUCCGACCUGCACGAAAGG
rnacentral:rRNA from 1 species